rnacentral:tRNA from 1 species
GUAGGGAGCAGACCAGCAUAGAGAGGGCUCAAGCCUGGAGAGCCUGUGGCCCACGCGUGGGUUCAAAUCCCACCCCCGGCGCCA